UACGAAGGGGGCUAGCGUUGUUCGGAUUUACUGGGCGUAAAGCGCACGUAGGCGGACUGUUAAGUCAGGGGUGAAAUCCCGGGGCUCAACCCCGGAACUGCCUUUGAUACUGGUAGUCUUGAGUUCGAGAGAGGUGAGUGGAAUUCCGAGUGUAGAGGUGAAAUUCGUAGAUAUUCGGAGGAACACCAGUGGCGAAGGCGGCUCACUGGCUCGAUACUGACGCUGAGGUGCGAAAGCGUGGGGAGCAAACAGG
rnacentral:rRNA from 1 species